CGCCCGCCGUGCGGCCCCUCGGGGCCCGGGCCUGGGAGCUCGGGGUGGGAAUUGCAAGAGUAACCGGUUGCCUUCUGCUUCCUCCCCAGACGCGAAGAGCAGGCUGCGGCAGGUAACCGAGGUAAACGCUGUGGAGGUGGGGCUGUGAAGCCACGACAAGGCCAAAGGCGGGUGAAGAAGGUCAAGCAGAGGAAGGCAGCCAGGACAAAAGGAAACUAUACGGCAGUAUGCUUAAAAGAUCAGAGUUUAACAAGCCUCCACCAGCAGCUUGCCAAAGACUUUUUAAACACUCAUCUCUACGGACCAGACACCAACCGGGCACAGGCAAAUGAUUUUUUUUCCAUUGAAAACAAGAAAAACCCAGUUAAAAAAGCUGCAGUUCAGUUUGUGGACAAAUCUUGGGGGCAAGAAAAAAAGGAGAAAGCAGCAAGAUUUAAGAAACGCUGGCUCUCAACACAGAUUAAAAAUUGAGUAUGGAGACAGGUUUUUCAGAAGAUGCUAUUGAGGACUUUUUUACUGCAUGUUAAGUCUCUGUAUACAACAAAGGUGUUUUUUCCCCACUUUCCCAGCAUGGGUCUGCUUUCAGCUCUAGCCAGCAGCAGGCACUGACCUUCACUCAGCUGGGCCUGAACUGACAUUCCUGUUCUCUUCCCUCCCCCCUUUGUAAGUGGCCAGGGAAGUGAAGCUGCAGCUGUGCCAGGGCAGUGCCUGCCUGUCCCUGAUGCAGAGCAGCUGGUGUUACCACCAGGCUUGUGGAGCUGCCUCCAUGAGGCAGCUCCUUUGCAGACAAUAAAGAAAUACAAUGUUGUACUUACUGUUCUGGAUGGUGGUUUCUUACAGCAAUGCUCCUGCUUUUUCAGUUACUUGUAUCUCUGAAGAAAGGCUGUGUUAGAAUCUUUAAGGCAGCUCAGCCUACAGGGCCCUUCUGUCCAGCCUGAUGAUUACUUUCAGGGAAUAA